rnacentral:tRNA from 1 species
GCGCCUUUAGCUCAGUUGGUUAGAGCAUCUCGUUUACACCGAGAGGGUCGGGGGUUCGAGUCCCUCAGGGCGCA